rnacentral:rRNA from 1 species
AUUGAACGCUGGCGGCAGGCCUAACACAUGCAAGUCGAGCGAGAGGCGGACGGGUGAGUAAGGGAGGGGGAUCUGCCCGAUAGAGGGGGAUAAGGACGGGAAACGGUGGAUAAAACCGCAUACGAUGGGAUGAAGCGAUAUGGGAGUAGCUAGUAGGUUGGGUAAAGGCUCACCGAGGCGACGAUCUCUAGCUGGUCUGAGAGGAUGAUCAGCCACACUGGGACUGAGACACGGCCCAGACUCCUACGGGAGGCAGCAGUGGGGAAUAUUGCACAAUGGGCGCAAGCCUGAUACAGCCACGCCGCGUGUAUGAAGAAGGCUUUAGGGUUGUAAAGUACUUUUAGCGGGGAGGCGUUACCCGCAGAAGAAGCACCGGCUAACUCCGUGCCAGCCGCCGCGGUAAUUC